ACUUAGUUUUUGCUCAUAUUUUCAUUAAGGAAAAUUACCAACCUUUGUGUUUCAGGUAAUAAAAGGAUAAAAAAACAAAAAAGGAAAUUACUGGAGUGUAACAACUACUUACUAAGUGUUCCAGAAGGAUAAAAUGGUCGAUUGUCAAAAGCCACUGAGAGAUCUAAAAGCAUCAACAGGAACAUGCACCCCUUGUCAGUGUUAAGACGGAGAUCAUCCACUUAAGGGACUACAGUAGUCUCAGCUCUGUAUCCUGCUCUCAAGACAGUUUGAAAUGAAUCAGGGAAGUGUGUUUUAUCCAAGAUUUCAUGGAGCUGAAAAUCAACUGCUUUUUCAACUAAUUUGCCCAAAAAGGAAGGUUAGACACUGGUCUGUAAUUAUUUAAGCCUAGAAAAUCCAGGGGGGACUUUUUAGCUGUGGUCUAACUACUGUUUCUUUUAAACAGAGUGGAAUAUUCCCUUCCUUUAAAAAUGCAUUGAUAAUUUGUUGUAUUUGAGAUCUAAUUGCAUCUCCUCCCUGAAUGACCAGCCAGGAGGGACAGAGAUCAAGAAAGUAGGUUGUUCUCCUUUCUCCAGAAGCUUGUCCACAUCAGAAGUGCUCACUGAUCCAGCAUAUUCCCAUUCACAGAAUUGCUGGACACCUCGUUUUUGUUUUCUGUUCCAAUUACAGUAUCUAAGUCAGCUCUUAUGAGAAAUAUUUCAUCUGCAAAAUGAUUUUGAUUUUUAGAGAAAACAGAAGAUGGGUUUCUAAAUAAUUAAUUUACAGAAAUUAAUUUAGGCUGAUGAGGAAUAUACUCAAAUGGCAUAUUUAAUACCUGGGAUUAUCUGACCCAGAGUUUCCAGAGUCUGAGAGUCCAAGAUUUGAGUCUGGAUCUAGUUUAUGGCAGAGUUCUGGAAGAACUGGAUAGAAGAAUGAUUGAGAAAUGCCAAAGGCAAGAACAAGAUGACAUGGCUGACCAAGAGGGGGUGCCACCAGAUAAUCUACCAGAAAAUGAAGACGGCCAAGAAACAUCUACAUUUGGAGUCAAAACAAAGGCUUGUUAUUCCUGCAAUAGAUGAGGUCAUCUUGCAAGGAAUUGUGCCCAAGCCAAGAAGAUGCCUUCCAGAGAAAAAAUUUCCCAUGGAAAAUUUGUUAAAUGUUUGUCUCAAUUUUGAAUGUGAACAGUGUGAAAAUAUCCUUGAUUGUGCAAUUUGUAAAGAGGCCAAUGUCAAACAGAUUCCAGCACCAAAGAAAUCCAAAAUCGAAGCAAAUGAAUUGUUUGAAGUAAUACAUGCACAGUUAUUUGGCCCAUUUCAAAAGAGUGAGAGGAGGUCGAGAUUUGCUUUGGUCCUAGUGGAAUUUUUUACCAGGUUUUCAUACAUUUAUUUCUUAGAGGAAAAAAUGUGAAGUUCUACAACAGAUCAAGAGAUGGCUUAGCAUGGUAGGAGUAUACAAUAAAAAUGUAGGAACAUUGAUAUUUGACAAAGGGGAAGAUAUGUGUGACAAUAACUUGUAUGAGUUUUUAAGUGAAAAUGAGAUUACAAAUGCAUAGAAUCUUUUAAAUCUUCUGAGGAAGGAAUAGCAGAAAGGAGAACAGAGUUACACCAAAGAAUGAAAGUAUGCAUGGAGAAAGAUUCUAUUAGCCCAACUGGGUUGUGACUUGAAUCUUUGCACAUAUCUAAUUUCAUAGUUAAUUGUUUAUGGUGUGAUUCCAUAAGAGAAACUCAAUUCAAAAAGAUGUACAAUAGACCUCCAAAUCUGAAAUUCCUAAAUAAAAAUGGUCAGUAUGCAAAUAUAUUUAUAUCAGCCAACCAGAGAGACAAAGGUGAACCUGACUGGCAAAGGAUGCAUUUCCUAGGGGACUUCUGUGACAAAAUGAAAUUCCAUAGGUUAUACAGAAGAGUGAGGUUUUCAAAGGUUGCAUAUUUUGAUAAAGAUGCAGGUUGGGAUAGAUUGCACUUGAAUAAGAAGGUUCUUAGGAAUGUCAAAGAAAGGACAGAAAUAGGAGAAAGUUCUGCAACUGGAGGGGUGAAUGUUCAAGAAUCAAAAGGUCAAAAACAGUUAAAAAGGAGAAACCUUUACUUCUUGAGAAGGGAAAGACUCAAACACACACAAAAUGUGAGGCCACAAAAGAAAGAUAGCAUCACCAAAGUUACAACACCCAAGUCUUCAAUUAAAAAAGAGCUAGAUAUAGAGGGGGCUAACUGAAGUGUAUGCAAUGAUGAACAAGCAUAUUUGCCACUACUUAAAAUCCCAAGACUGUCUAAGGCUAAGAAAGAGGAGUCUGGUUUGUUUGUUUGUUUGUUUUUUGCAACGCAAGCCAAUUGUGUUGUA